AAAUGAUUUAUAUGACUUAGCGUUGACAUUUGACAACACUUUUUUCUGAGACCGGAAGUGUGCGUAGGCGUAUACGUAAUAUAUGUGUAUUGUAAUGAGGGAGCCUGUUGUACAUUACUCAUACCACCUGUCCGCCACGCAAGAGCAGUGGGGUUCAGGAAUCAGCACUUGCUGACAAAAUGAUAACAUC